GGAUUUAAAUGCCACCAUGUCGAGCAAAAGGGCAAAGACCAAGACUACCAAGAAGCACCCCCAGCACGCAACAUCCAACAUGUUCGCCAUGUUUGACCAGUCACAGAUUCAGGAGUUCAAAGAAGCCUUCAACAUGAUUGAUUAGAACAGAGAUGGUUUCAUUGACAAGAUUUGCAUGACAUGCUUGCCUCCCUAGGGGAAAAUCCAACUGAUGAGUAUCUGGAUGCCAUGAUGAAUGCGGCUCCCGGGCCCAUAAAUUUUACCAUGUUUCUCACUAUGUUUGGUGAAAAGUUAAAUGGCACAGAUCCCGAAGAUGUCAUCAGAAAUGCUUUAGCUUGCUUUGAUGAAGAAGCAACUGGCACCAUCCAGGAAGAUUACCUGAGAGAGCUGCUGACAACCAUGGGAGAUCGGUUUACAGACGAUGAAGUGGAUGAGCUGUACAGAGAAGCGCCUAUCAACAAAAAGGGAAAUUGCAAUUAUAUUGAGUUCACGUGCAUCCUUAAACAUGGAGCAAAAGACAGAGAUGACUGAAAAGAACUUCAAAUUCCAGCCAGACGUUCCUUGUUGCCACUUUGGGUAUUUCUGAGACGUUCUCUUAGAGUCUGUUGCAUGCCCUUAGCUUUGCAGCUUUUGCCUUUCUUGUUGUAUUUAGUCUCAGCCAUUUUGGGCACAUGCAUCUCUAUAAUCAGACUGGAAAUGGGACUUUUUAUGAUUUUCAGAAUAGAAAAUAGGGCAGUUUAACUUACUAGCCCCCUCCCAAAAUAACUGCAGUCUACACAGAGUCAGUAUAUUUUUUCAGAGAAAGUUAUUCACUCAAUUUUUUCUGAACCAUAAUUAAACUUUUUGAUAAAAAAAA